UACGGAAGGCAGCAGUGGGGAAUAUUGCACAAUGGGCGCAAGCCUGAUGCAGCCAUGCCGCGUGUAUGAAGAAGGCCUUCGGGUUGUAAAGUACUUUCAGUCGUGAGGAAGGUGUUAAGGUUAAUAACCUUAGCAAUUGACGUUAGCGACAGAAGAAGCACCGGCUAACUCCGUGCCAGCAGCCGCGGUAAUACGGAGGGUGCGAGCGUUAAUCGGAAUUACUGGGCGUAAAGGGCACGCAGGCGGUUAAUUAAGUUGGAUGUGAAAUCCCCGGGCUUAACCUGGGAAUGGCAUUCAAGACUGGUUAGCUAGAGUCUUGUAGAGGGGGUAGAAUUCCAUGUGUAGCGGUGAAAUGCGUAGAGAUGUGGAGGAAUACCGGUGGGCGAAGGCGGCCCCUGGGACAAAGGACUGACGCUCAUGUGCGAAAGCGUGGGGAGCAAACAGGGAUUAGAUA
rnacentral:rRNA from 1 species